GACGAACGCUGGCGGCGUGCUUAACACAUGCAAGUCGAACGAUGAAGCCUAGCUUGCUAGGUGGAUUAGUGGCGAACGGGUGAGUAAUACGUGAGUAACCUACCUUUAACUCUGGGAUAAGCCUGGGAAACUGGGUCUAAUACCGGAUACGACCAAUCUCCGCAUGGGGUGUUGGUGGCAAGCGUUAUGUAGUGGUUAUAGAUGGGCUCACGGCCUAUCAGCUUGUUGGUGAGGUAACGGCUCACCAAGGCGACGACGGGUAGCCGGCCUGAGAGGGUGACCGGCCACACUGGGACUGAGACACGGCCCAGACUCCUACGGGAGGCAGCAGUGGGGAAUAUUGCACAAUGGGCGCAAGCCUGAUGCAGCGACGCCGCGUGAGGGAUGACGGCCUUCGGGUUGUAAACCUCUGUUAGCAGGGAAGAAGAGAAAUUGACGGUACCUGCAGAGAAAGCGCCGGCUAACUACGUG
rnacentral:rRNA from 1 species